rnacentral:rRNA from 1 species
AUUGAACGCUGGCGGCAUGCUUUACACAUGCAAGUCGAACGGCAGCGCGGGCUUCGUCCUGGCUGCGCGUGGCGCACGGGUGAGUAAUGCAUCGGAACGUGCUCAGCAGUGGGGGAUAGCCCGGCGAAAGCCGGAGUAAUACCGCAUACGACCUGAUGGUGCAAGCGGGGGAGCGUAAGGCCUCGUGCUAUGGGAGGGGCCGACGUCGGGCUUGCUAGUUGGUGGGGUAAAUGCUUACCAAGGCGACGAUCCGCAGCUGGUCUGAGAGGAGGGCCGGCCACACUGGGAGGGAGCCACGGACCAGGCGCCUACGGGAGGCCGCAGUGGGGAAUGUUGGGCAAUGGGGGGAAACAUGACCCAGCCAGGCCGAGUGCGAGACGGAGGCGUUCGGGUUGUAAAGCGCUUUUGUUCGGGAAGAACUCCUCUGGGCUAAUACCAAGGGGGGAUGACGGUAACGGAAGAAUAAGCACCGGCUAACUACGUG